rnacentral:rRNA from 1 species
CCUAGAGGGGGACAACAGUGGAAACGAACUGCUAAUACCGCAUACGAUCUAAUCUCGGCAUCGAGGAUAGAUGAAAGGUGGCCUCUACAUGUAAGCUAUCACUGAAGGAGGGGAUUGCGUCUGAUUAGCUAGUUGGAGGGGUAACGGCCCACCAAGGCGAUGAUCAGUAGCCGGUCUGAGAGGAUGAACGGCCACAUUGGGACUGAGACACGGCCCAG